AGCGGGAAUAGCUCAGUUGGUAGAGCACGACCUUGCCAAGGUCGGGGUCGCGAGUUCGAGUCUCGUUCCCGCUCCAA
rnacentral:tRNA from 1 species